rnacentral:rRNA from 1 species
AUUGAACGCUGGCGGCAGGCCUAACACAUGCAAGUCGAGCGAGAGGCGGACGGGUGAGUACAGUGUGGGAAAAUGCGCGAUGGAGGGGGAGAACUAUUGGAAACGCUAUCUCAAACAGCGUACGACCACAGGUGUGCCGAUGGGAUUAGCUAGUGGAGGGGGUAACGGCUCACCUAGGCGACGAUCCCUAGCUGGUCUGAGAGGAUGACCAGCCACACUGGAACUGAGACACGGUCCAGACUCCUACGGGAGGCAGCAGUGGGGAAUAUUGCACAAUGGGCGCAAGCCUGAUGCAGCCAUGCCGCGUGUGUGAAGAAGGCCUUCGGGUUGUAAAGCACUUUCAGCGAGGAGGCGUUACCCGCAGAAGAAGCACCGGCUAACUCCGUGCCAGCAGCCGCGGUAAUAC